UGAGAUAAUUCUCAGGGUGGACGGACAGA
rnacentral:piRNA from 1 species